CUAAAGGAAGUGUAUUUAUACCUCAGCUGCUGUGAGGUAAGAACACAGAGAGGCUAAAGGAAGUGUCUUUAUACCUCAGCUGCUGUGAGGUAAGAACACAGAGAGGCUAAAGGAAGUGUCUUUAGACCUCAGCUGCUGUGAGCUCAGGUCCGGGGGGUCACAGAUCCUGGAGGGAUGCAUCGCUGAGCUCCCCAACAUCUCCAGUCUGGACAUCUCUGACAACGGUCUGGACUCUGACCUGUCCACUCUGCUGGUGUGGCUGGCCAAGAACCGAUCCAUCCGACACCUCUCACUGGGGAAGAACUUCAACAACAUCAAGUCCAAGUACG